GGACCGUGUUACUAAGAAUCCGCUGUCCCGAUUGUCUACAUUACAUGCUGUAUCUCAUGCAGGGCCGUUUUAACCUAUGGUGAAAUUCUAGCUCGCUACGCUCGCGGGUAAAUGACUAUGUCUGUACUGUAUUUCUGAUUGUUCAUUAUUUUUAUUGACGCACCGAAUCAAGGAACACAAAUGGCAUUCGCUCUAAUCACGGUUCCUUUUUAUUUGUACGUAAUUCCCAGUCUGAUUUGUGAGUCUUCAAACAAAUAAUUUAAAAAACUUCGCGCUCGCGGCUACUUGUUGCUUUACAGUGUGUUUAAUCAGGUGCUUUUGUGUCGUAGGCUCAAAAAAUUUCGCGCUCGCUUCGCUCGCGCAAUAUUAUAUAUUAUACUUUCCUUCGAUAACUUCAUAAGUCAAAUAUAGCAAAAAAAAACAGUCCUCAAAAACAAAACAGUUUGCGCUUCCGACUGCUUGUUACUUUACAGCGCUUUUUAAAACUUAUGAACAUUUACCCUCUUAUUAUAAAACGCGGUAUCAAAUAAGUAUCGGCUUUUGUACUACCUUUAAUCCAGCUAUAAGUACGACCUUGAAAAAACGUUAUUACAAAACGCAGUUUAUCGCAAGUCCUAUUACUAUCUGUAGUACAAAAGAUAAACCAUCGAGCCCCCUAGUUUAACUGCAGUACUUAGUCGACAAACGUCAAAUUCCGACAUUAUUUACUUUUGAGGUUAUUUGUUUUGUGAUGAAAAAAACGAAAGUGGAUAUAAAUAUGUGUGAUUUGGAAUACUUGGAUGUGUUAGAAUACUAUUGAGUGUCCGGGGACCCAACAGAGUGCGUCAUCGAGAAAAUCUCUUCAAAUUACCUGACGAUAAUUUUCGAUGUAAAUAUCGAUUUACGUUUUUCGAAAUAAUAGUCAAUUGAAUGCAUGAUGAUAAUCCAUGAUGAUCCAGGAUGAUGAUAUGAUGCUCAACAGGGCUCGCCAUAAAAUUCAAGACUAUUUUGGCGUUUUACACGCCGUAUCUCUGCCAGUAAUAUGCAAUGUUUGUAAAAGACUGGAAGCUUGCUAAAAUGUACAAAAAUGCCAAGAUGAGAAAGGGAACAAGAUUGUGUGAUGAAGAACAGUGUCCAACAUGUAUCAGUGCGUUUAACUGUAUAAAUAGACAUCGGAAUAAAAUAUAAUUUUCUACUUU